rnacentral:rRNA from 1 species
UCGCUUCGGAUGACAGGAACCGGCGAACGGGUGCGUAACACGUAUGCAAUCUGCCCCUGACUGGAGCAUAGCCCGGGGAAACUCGGAUUAAUACUCCAUAAUAUUAUGAAAUGGCAUCAUUUUAUAAUCAAAGUUCCGACGGUCAGGGAUGAGCAUGCGGCCCAUUAGCUAGUUGGUGAGGUAAUAGCUCACCAAGGCUACGAUGGGUAGGGGGUCUGAGAGGAUGAUCCCCCACACUGGUACUGAGACACGGACCAGACUCC